CACACAGCUUUGUUUUUUUAUUUUUCUUGAGAAGGAAUAACUGAGUUACAAUGAGACCAGUAUCAACAAUUUCAAAAAGGUAUUGUACAAAAAUAUUACAAACAUAAGACACUUUAAUUAAAAACAGAAAACACACAAAGUAUGUCACUACAGAAACUCUAUUCUGUGAUAUAGACGAUAUUGCUUUAAGGAAACUUGCAGCUUUUAAGGACCUGUUUAUAUCGAAACUGGCUGGCCCGCUAAGUGAGACAGCCCGGUAAGUGAGAUCUCGCUGUCUACUUAUUUUUAUAGUAAAAAUUAUAAUUAAAAUUGUUUCUAUGUACAAGCGGGAGGCCCUGUUGCAGAGACCAGGAUGGAAAUUUCUCCAUAUAAACAAUCACAAGCAGGCUAGCCCAGUUGCCAGGAUGAAAGUUCAAUGAUACUGCCGCAAGCUAUUUUUAACAACUGUCAAAACAAUGUCAAAACAACAAAAUUGUCCCGGU